AUGUGUAACAUAGAAAAUAAGAAGACUUCUCCUUCAGCACAACCUCCAAGAUCAUCCUGUAAGAGAAGUGGCAAGUACAGAAGAUGCAAAGCUAUGAACACAGAGCAGAGGCCCCCGUGUUGCUUUGAUCAAGUUCAAAAGAUGAGGGAAAUGAUGACUCAGGACCUUGGGAACCAGACUGAAGAAUCUCACAGACAUACUGAAGGGUUUUUGGGGGGACUGCUGUUUUUUGGUUUUUUUUUUAACUGAGGCAUCAUUUUGGUAAACAAUUCCUAUAGUCUGUGCACUUAUCAAAUUCCUUUACCCAAAUAUUUGCUAUUUAUAAAAUAAUCAAGGAAACAGACUUGUGUUUACUAUUCCAAAAUCAGCAGCAGUUUGAUGAAUUAAAAACAGUCUUACUUUUCCUUCUUUCCUCUCCCUUUACCAGCCUCCUGUCAAUGUGCCAAACUUACACACCCA
rnacentral:lncRNA from 9 species